CAGACAGACUACUGUAUGUAACUGGGCACAGAGGCCAAAAAGAUUGAGAAUUCUACCUUGAGUCUUAAUGAAGACAAAGGAGUGAAUGGCGGCAAGCUGAGGCGAACUGGGAGAUAAGGAAGGCGCGAUGGUAAUUGUAAAGCAUUUUACAAAAGGUUCACUGAACAAAAAUGCUUAUUGCGUAGGCCUUUUGUAAUUUUGCAUGAAUUACUUUUUUAUUAAAUUUGUAGGCUGGAAUGCCUCAAGGGAACAAUUGUGUAAUAUAGGCUAGCACCCACUGCUUCAGCCUCUGGUAAGCUCAGAAGUGGGUAGCAAGUGACUUGUAGCUUGAGAGCGAUGCCAGUGUAGGCCGACGUUUCCUUGGCAACAGUAUUACUGUAAAGCAUUAGCAUUGGCAACUUACCUGUUGCAAGUUUACCAAGCUCUCGAUCUCAUUCCACAAGCCUAGAGUGCCCUCUCGCGGCUGUAGACGGUAAUGUUUCAUGUAGCGUUCAUGUCAAUUCAUACUGACUAACAUGUCUUAAAAACAUGUUAAAUUAUAUAUAUUUUGAUAUAUAAGUUGCACCUGACUAAGUCCCAGCCAAACGAUGAAAAAAAGUGUGACUUAUAGUCCGGAAAAAUCGGUAUUAAAGCUGGUGUUUGUUGUGCCUCUUUCAGAUGAAUGUUUAUGUACAUUUAUAUCUCUGUACACAUGUAGUGGUGUUUAUUCACAUCUCUGUACACAUGUAGUGGUUUUAUAUCACAUCUCUGUACACAUGUAGUGGUGUUUAUAUUCACAUCUCUGUACUCAUGUAGUGGUGUUUAUAUUUACAUCUCUGUACACAUGUAGUGGUGUUUAUACAUUCACAUCUCUGUACACAUGUAGUGGUGUUUAUACAGUCACAUCUCUGUACACAUGUACAGUAGUGGUCUUUCUUCUGCCUGUGCUUUUAUGUGACACACUGUUACAGAUGCAAAGAGUCAGCUGAGAUUUAUUAAGGACUUUUCUUGGCUGAAUUUGAAGAUAUUAGUUUUUAAAUAAUCCUGUCAUCUGUCUCUGAUGACACAGUGGAAGGCGUCUGUGGCCAACCAGAGCAUGGAAUUAGACAAAUGCAGAAGGAGUAGACCAGCCAAAAGCAGAUUCAAGCUGCACUUCAUUUUAAACAUGGAGGAGGAAGUCAACCGACUUUUUUUUUUUCAAAACUGAUGAAUUACAUGAACUACAUCGUGGGUAUAAAAUGGAUUUGUAUCAUACCAUAUCCAUUACAUAAAUUACAUUGAGUAUGACAUUUAUUUGUGUGACACAAUAACCAUUAUAUAUAUUACAUCAAGAGUAAGGAAUGGAUAUGUGUCCUACCAAAACUGUUACAUAAAUUAUGUCCCUGGUUUGGAACGAAUUUUCAUGCUCAUAUUACAGGUAAGCACAGGAUUUCUAUGCCGACUCUAUCACAAGUAAGAGUAGGGUUUCUAUGCCAACAUACAAGUGACGAGUGGAAGUUUUGUAAAUAGAAGAACAGCAUGUGUCUAUUCUUCGGUCACACGCACGCACGCACGCAGCAGCCACUGACCUGCCUGAUAUCUUUACCACAGGCCCCCACAGCAGGACGAGAAACCGGCCGCUGCUUCCCCCAGUCAAACACAGUCUGACCACAGCACCAGGGCUGAGGGGGGAGUAGGCCACUAAGCAAAGCAGCCAAACCAGCACUGAAACCCCAACACAUCAUUACACUAUCACCUGGGAACACACACACACACACACACAGAAGCCCUGUGCCGCUUUGACACUUGCUGGUCUUGCAUUAUGUCAUCACACAUACAGACACACACACACACAUGGCUGACUGUGUGUCUGUCUGUGUGUGUGACAACACGCUGUUGUCAUAAACAAUAUUUUAAUGUCU